AGAACGAACGCUGGCGGCAUGCCUAACACAUGCAAGUCGAACGAGACCGCUGACUUCGGUUGGCGCGUCUAGUGGCGCACGGGUGCGUAACGCGUGGGAAUCUGCCCUUGGGUACGGAAUAACAGUUAGAAAUGACUGCUAAUACCGUAUAAUGACUUCGGUCCAAAGAUUUAUCGCCCAGGGAUGAGCCCGCGUAGGAUUAGCUAGUUGGUGAGGUAAUGGCUCACCAAGGCGACGAUCAGUAGCUGGUCUGAGAGGAUGAUCAGCCACAUUGGGACUGAGACACGGUCCAAACUCCUACGGGAGGCAGCAGUGGGGAAUAUUGGACAAUGGGCGCAAGCCUGAUCCAGCCAUGCCGCGUGAGUGAUGAAGGCCCUAGGGUUGUAAAGCUCUUUUGUGCGGGAAGAUAAUGACGGUACCGCAAGAAUAAGCCCGGCUAACUUCGUGCCAGCAGCCGC
rnacentral:rRNA from 1 species